rnacentral:ncRNA from 1 species
GCAGAGUAGGCGGUUGCGCGUUAAGUGUUGUGUGAACGGGGAGUUGUCAUGCAAACGAAAAGCCGUAGUUACGGACUUGCGGUGCAGCUGCUGCAUCCCGCUGC